GCUUAAACCCGAUUGAAGCGAACACGUAGCAUCAGCCCCCACGGCUGAUUAGCGGAGUGAAGCGGAAAGCGGGACUACAA
rnacentral:sRNA from 1 species